rnacentral:rRNA from 1 species
GACGAACGCUGGCGGCGUGCCUAACACAUGCAAGUCGAACGGAGUAAGUAGCAAUACUUACUUAGUGGCGAACGGGUGAGUAACGCGUAGACAACCUGCCUCUAAAUUGGGGACAACACCGCGAAAGUGGUGCUAAUACCGAAUGUGGUAACUUGGUCGCAUGACUGAGUUAAGAAAGAUGGUCUCUACCUGUAAGCUAUCGAUUUGAGAUGGGUCUGCGUCUGAUUAGCUAGUUGGUGAGGUAAUGGCUCACCAAGGCGACGAUCAGUAGCCGGUCUGAGAGGAUGAACGGGCACACUGGGACUGAGACACGGCCCAGACUCCUACGGGAGGCAGCAGUGGGGAAUCUUCCGCAAUGGACGAAAGUCUGACGGAGCAACGCCGCGUGAGUGAAGAAGGUUUUCGGAUCGUAAAGCUCUGUCGUUUGGGACGAACGUAUCUUGUGUGAAUAAUGCAAGGUAAUGACGGUACCAAAGGAGGAAGCCACGGCUAACUACGUGCCAGCCGCCGCCGUAA